ensembl:lncRNA
CUCGAACUAUUUUUGUCCACAGAUACGGAUUCCAGUCCUCGAUAACACUCCUCUUCAGCCCUUCCUCGACACACUCCACUUCAGCCCUUAAUUUCCAGCCGACUCCACUCCAGGUAAGUUUAAAGCAAGAGCUAGGCAGUUGACGUGCAGGGACUUUCUGGCUCUGGGGGGGGGGGGUGGACUUCAAGACCCAAGGCUGAGCUGUUAGCGUGCAGGGGUUCUAGCUCUCAGGUAAGUACAAAGUUCAAUACACAGGUGGGUAUUCACAGGGCUGGGCUGUUAGUGUGCAGGGGUUCUAGCUCACAGGUAAGUACAAAGUUCAAUACACAGGUGGGUAUUCACAGGGCUGGGCUGUUAGCGUGCAGGGGUUCUAGCUCCCAGGUAAGUACAGCGUUCAAUACACAAGUGGGUAUUCACAGGGCUGGGCUGUUAGUGUGCAGGGGUUCUAGCUCACAGGUAAGUACAGAAUUCAAUACACAGGUGGGUAUUCGCAGGGCUGGGCUGUUAGCGUGCAGGGGUUCUAGCUCUCAGGUAAGUACAGAAUUCAAUACACAGGUGAGCAUUCACAGGGCUGGGCUGUUAACUGGCUACUCACCACUGAAGAUAUUCAGAGGUCGGUAUUCCAAGCAGAUACGGGUUUGGUCGAUGACUGACGGCUGGUGGGCCUUACAGGUGAGACUGCAAACAAUACUGGGCUUCCCGCCCAGCUUGGCAAGGGGGCACACGGGGGAGGAUCGGCUGUUGUCCUUCGCUUCCCUCGUCAAAGAGACAGCACAGACGACACGCACAAGGCCGGUGGUUGCUGACAAGGCCAAUGACACAACGUCACGUGGAUGAAAAGGUAAGGCUUUGAUUUAAAAGCUUACAGAGAUCGCUGUGUGGGCGACGUCAUCCAACCUCCUCCAGAGGCGCCUCCAACACGUCCAAGCUCCAGCUUACUUAAGGUAAAGACUGUGGUUGCCACCAAUACACUGCUCCUCUCUGUCAGGCCUCUUCCUACGACCGGGGACACAACCACGGACAAACACCACACACCACAAAGGCACUACAAUUCUUCUCGUGUGUACACUUCAAUAUAGCAGCACUCACCGCACUCCACACACUCAGUGAAAGAAGAUCCGUGGUGUAUUCCCGUUUCGGGCUCAGAGUCCUGGCGGGGCGUGUCAGAUGGACGAAGGCAGGGGGCAGACCACAGCAGGCGUAUAUAUCGUACACCGGAGUCUCUCCGUCUUUCCCAGCGAUCUCCAACGCAAGGCACUACUAUCAACACUGAGUAAACACACAAGCACUGAGGAUUAUUAGAUCAACACAAGAGAGGGGGGGGGGGGGAUUACCCACUGCUACGGAGAAAUAUGCAGUCGGAACACUUUCUUAAAGGCAGUUAGUCUCCCUCCACAUCCGUCAUCCACUCUCCACAAUAUACAAGGAAUGUUCAUAAAGUCUUCACCCACCAGUACACAGUGUUGUCCUCUCCCAAUACGAAUUCAAUGAUCUCCUUCACUCAGGGGCCUUCCAAACAUAGGAU